GCCGAGGUAGUCAACUUGGUGAAGACACGUGUCUGAAAAACAUGGGAUAGUGGUUCGAUUCCACUCCUCGGCA
rnacentral:tRNA from 1 species